ACGAACCGUGCGAACGUUGUUCGGAUUCACUGGGCUUAAAGGGCGCGUAGGCGGGCGAUCAAGUCAGGGGUGAAAGCCUCCAGCUCAACUGGAGAAGUGCCUUUGAUACUGGUCGUCUUGAGGGAGGUAGGGGCAUGUGGAACUUCCGGUGGAGCGGUGAAAUGCGUAGAUAUCGGAAGGAACGCCGGUGGCGAAAGCGACGUGCUGGACCUCUUCUGACGCUGAGGCGCGAAAGCGUGGGGAGCAAACAGGA
rnacentral:rRNA from 1 species